rnacentral:rRNA from 1 species
UACGGGGGGGUAAGCGUUGUUCGGAAUUACUGGGCGUAAAGGGCUCGUAGGCGGCCAACUAAGUCAUACGUGAAAUCCCUCAGCUUAACUGGGGAACUGCGUGUGAUACUGGAUGGCUUGGAUUUGGGAGAGGGAUGCGGAAUUCCAGGUGUAGCGGUGAAAUGCGUAGAUAUCUGGAGGAACACCGGUGGCGAAGGCGGCAUCCUGGACCAAUAUUGACGCUGAGGAGCGAAAGUGUGGGGAGCGAACAGG